CUACGGGGCGCUGCAGUGAGGAAUAUUGCACAAUGGGGGGAACUCUGAUGCAGCAACGCCGCGUGGAGGAUGACACUUUUCGGAGCGUAAACUCCUUUUAUAUAGGAAGAAGAUGACGGUACUAUAUGAAUAAGCGCCGGCUAACUCCGUGCCAGCAGCCGCGGUAAUACGGAGGGCGCAAGCGUUACUCGGAAUCACUGGGCGUAAAGAGCGUGUAGGCGGAUUAAAAAGUCAGAAGUGAAAUCCUAUAGCUUAACUAUAGAACUGCUUCUGAAACUCUUAAUCUAGAAUAUGGGAGAAGUAGAUGGAAUUUCUGGUGUAGGGGUAAAAUCCGUAGAGAUCAGAAGGAAUACCGAUUGCGAAGGCGAUCUACUAGAACAUUAUUGACGCUGAGACGCGAAAGCGUGGGGAGCAAACAGGAUUAGAUACCCUAGUAGUC
rnacentral:rRNA from 1 species